rnacentral:lncRNA from 1 species
CUUGGGGCAAGAUGGCUGCGCCCACUGGCUUUGCUGAGGGGAAGGGGCUGUUACUCACACACGCUGGUCUGGGUUCAGAUCAGUUCUGUUCUCUGGUCUCCCGAGGCCCUUGGUUUAUGGGGUCCCCACGGAUGGAAGCUUUCCCCCCCUCAGCGGGUUUCCACUGAACCAGCAGCAGGAGUCCUGGAUGAUCCCCGGUUGUGCGGCCCCUCCCCCGCUCCUUCCCGACCUGCGCCGCAGCCAUCGCAGACUUUAGGGGAGGGAGAGACGUUCUCUCCCACCGUUCCAGCGCCUCCAAGGCUGACUUGAGAGCCACAGAACACGUCUCAUUUAUCUUCCUCUCUCCAGUACUAAUUUAGUGGUCAAUAGAACGGAUGUUCAUUGGUCAGUUACCUGCACUAAGGGAACCAGGGCAAAAGAGAUUCCCUUUUGGAUUCACCAAGGACAGGGCUGACAUGAGAAUUUCAGUUGAGUUCAGCAGGAUUGCAAUCAGAGUCCUUGGCAAAAGUCACAUCGCAUCAGGUUGACCAUCAUGCAGCUAGGACCACCUGCUGCAGUUCUUUAUGACUCACUCCUAG